rnacentral:rRNA from 1 species
UGGGGAAUAUUGCACAAUGGGCGAAAGCCUGAUGCAGCUAUGCCGCGUGUAUGAAGAAGGCCUUAGGGUUGUAAAGUACUUUCAGCGGGGAAGAAAAAGAAAAGUAUAAAACAUUUUUCUCUUGACGUUACCCGAAGAAGAAGCACCGGCUAACUCCGUGCCAGCAGCCGCGGUAAUACGGAGGGUGCUAGCGUUAAUCAGAAUUACUGGGCGUAAAGAGCGCGUAGGUGGUUUAGAAAGUCAGAUGUGAAAUCCCUGGGCUUAACCUAGGAACUGCAUUUGAAACUUCUAGACUAGAGUAUCGUAGAGGGAGGUAGAAUUCUAGGUGUAGCGGUGAAAUGCGUAGAUAUCUGGAGGAAUACCCGUGGCGAAAGCGGCCUCCUGGACGAAUACUGACACUGAGGUGCGAAAGCGUGGGGAGCAAACAGG